CCUACGGGGUGCAGCAGUGGGGAAUAUUGGGCAAUGGGCGCAAGCCUGACCCAGCAACGCCGCGUGAAGGAAGAAGUCUUUCGGGUUGUAAACCUCUUUUCUCAGGGACGAAGGAAGUGACGGUACCUGAGGAAUAAGCCACGGCUAACUACGUGCCAGCAGCCGCGGUAAUACGUAGGUGGCAAGCGUUAUCCGGAUUUACUGGGUGUAAAGGGCGAGUAGGCGGGACUGCAAGUCAGAUGUGAAAAGCGCGGGCUCAACCUGUGGCCUGCUUUUGAAACUGUAGUUCUUGAGUGCUGGAGAGGCAGGCGGAAUGCCUAGUGUAGCGGUGAAAUGCGUAGAUAUUAGGAGGAACACCAGUGGCGAAGGCGGUCUGCUGGACAGCAACUGACGCUGAGGCGCGAAAGCGUGGGGAGCAAACAGGAUUAGAUACCCCAGUAGUC
rnacentral:rRNA from 1 species